GAUGAACGCUGGCGGCGUGCCUAAUACAUGCAAGUCGAGCGAACGGACGAGAAGCUUGCUUCUCUGAUGUUAGCGGCGGACGGGUGAGUAACACGUGGAUAACCUACCUAUAAGACUGGGAUAACUUCGGGAAACCGGAGCUAAUACCGGAUGAUAUUUUGAACCGCAUGGUUCAAAAGUGAAAGACGGUCUUGCUGUCACUUAUAGAUGGAUCCGCGCUGCAUUAGCUAGUUGGUAAGGUAAUGGCUUACCAAGGCAACGAUGCAUAGCCGACCUGAGAGGGUGAUCGGCCACACUGGAACUGAGACACGGUCCAGACUCCUACGGGAGGCAGCAGUAGGGAAUCUUCCGCAAUGGGCGAAAGCCUGACGGAGCAACGCCGCGUGAGCGAUGAAGGUCUUCGGAUCGUAAAACUCUGUUAUUAGGGAAGAACAUAUGUGUAAGUAACUGUGCACAUCUUGACGGUACCUAAUCAGAAAGCCACGGCUAACUACGUG
rnacentral:rRNA from 1 species